rnacentral:rRNA from 1 species
GAUGAACGCUGACAGAAUGCUUAACACAUGCAAGUCAACUGUGGCGGACGGGUGAGUAACGCGUAGAGAACUUGCCUCACAGAUAGGGACAACAUGUGGAAACGAAUGCUAAUACCUGAUACUGUGAGAGAGCUUUGCGUCCCAUUAGCUCGUGGGAGAGGUAACGGCUCACCAAGGCGAUGAUGGGUAGCCGGCCUGAGAGGGUGAUCGGCUACAAGGGGACUGAGACACGGCCCGUACUCCUACGGGAGGCAGCAGUGGGGAAUAUUGGACAAGUGACCAAAGUCUGAUCCAGCAAUUCUGUGUGCACGAUGAAUUUUUCGGAAUGUAAAGUGCUUUCAGUUGGGAAGCAGUACCAACAGAAGAAGUGACGGCUAAAUACGUGCCAGCAGCCGCGGUAAUAC